AUGAAGUUGGAUUCGGUUUUAAUCGAAAGGGAACAACCUUUUAGAAGAAGAGAGAACGAAAAAUGGCGGAGUAUUGGGUAUUUUCGAUCAGGGAGAACGGCGGCUUUGGAGGUGUCGCGACGGAUUGCAGCUCAGGCGAGGGAUUCCAUUCAGGGAGCUCGAUUUCCCGGCAAGGUAAGGAUUUCUACUUUUUUGCUCUGA